UUCAAUUAGUGUCCUUUUAAAAUGGUUCUGGCAGGAGGAUUGCGUCUUUGUCCUUAAAUGGCGGCUUUGCAGCGACAGGAAAAUACUCCCGGGAUGUUUUGCUUUAUUUGCUUCCCAGACUUCCUGUCCUCUACAACAGCCUGACUGCCGAAGCGAAGAGCUCCCGUGUGGCGUGAAAUCGGACAGAUGAGCGCAGCAGUUGAUCCCGGAGACCAGCCGCACUCACCUCGCGGUCCCGGGUGGCCACCGUCUCUCCGGCCGGCUGUCCUGACUGGAGCGUUUCCUCUCCUGGGGCUCCAGACUGCGGGCCGCCGGAGCGUCUGGAUAACAGCCGGUCGUGUUACACCUGUACUGUUUCUAUUUCGAUUUUUGCAAUAAAUUAGUCUUUGGAUUGUUUCUUAAACCAAACUGUUUGGGUAUCUUGGAUCACUUCAUGUUGGAAGUGAGCCUCCUGUUUCUUUAAUGAGCCUGCAUCUGUCUCCUUUACCCUUUCAGGCUGCUCAGAGUGCCACUCAGUCAUGAAUUUAAGGUGCUUUAUCUUCAUCCAUGGUAGCUGUUGCACAAGCUUCUUCCCUGCACUUUGCCUGUAAAACUCAAGCUGUUGCUUGAAUGUACACAAAGGCAUGUAGCCUGUGGCCAAGCAACUGCUUGAUUGCACAACU